rnacentral:rRNA from 1 species
AAGGAAGCGAAUAAGGGCGUACGGGGGAUGCCUUGGCUUUCGGAGACGACGAAGGACGUGGUAAGCUGCGAAAAGCUACGGGGAGUUGCAAACAAGCUUUGAUCCGUAGAUGUCCGAAUGGGGGAACCCUGCAGGUUGAAGACCUGUAAUCAUCGCAAGAUGAAGAGAACCUGGGGAACUGAAACAUCUAAGUACCUGGAGGAAAAGAAAACAAUAGUUAUUCCGUGAGUAGUGGCGAGCGAAAGCGGAGAAGCCCAAAAGUUAUUACAUAGAGAGCAGAACUGUUUUGGAAAAGCAGACCAUAGGAGGUGAGAGUCCUGUAAGCGAAAGGAUGUAAUAAUGAACAUAGAGUAGGGCGGAGCCGGUGAAACUCUGUCUGAAUAUGCCAGCACCAUCUGGUAAGGCUAAAUACUACCGAAAGACCGAUAGUGAACCAGUACUGUAAAGGAAAGGUGAAAAGAACCCUAAGAAAGGGAGUGAAAAGAACCUGAAACCGUGCGCUUACAAGCGGUCGGAGCCUGAGUAAUUGGGUGACGGCGUGCCUUUUGCAUAAUGAGCCUACGAGUUAUGCCUCACUAGCAAGUUUAAGUCCCUAAGGGACGGAGGCGGAGCGAAAGCGAGUCUGAAAAGGGCGAGAGCUAGUGGGGAUAGACGCGAAACCUUGUGAUCUACCCAUGAGCAGGUUGAAGGUGGGAUAAUCUCCCACUGGAGGACCGAACUGGUAAACGUUGAAAAGUUUUCGGAUGACUUGUGGGUAGGGGUGAAAGGCCAAUCAAACUGGGAGAUAGCUCGUACUCCCCGAAAUGCAUUUUGGUGCAGCGUUAGGAAGAGUGUGCUGGAGGUAGAGCUACCAAUAGGGCUAGGGGGGCUUCACGGCCUACCAACCCCUGAUGAACUCCGAAUGCCAGCACAUUGCACUAGCAGUGAGGCGUGGGGUGCUAAGGUCACACGCCGAGAGGGGAACAACCCAGACCAACAGCUAAGGUCCCCAAAUGAUAUCUAAGUUGAACAAACGAUGUGAGAAUGCUAAGACAGCUAGGAUGUUGGCUUGGAAGCAGCCAUUCAUUUAAAGAGUGCGUAACAGCUCACUAGUCGAGCGUUCUUGCGCGGAAAAUAAUCGGGCAUCAAGAUAUCUACCGAAGCUUUGGAUUCAUAGUAAUAUGAGUGGUAGGGGAGCAUUCUAAAGCGUUGAAGCUGUACUGUGAGGUAUGGUGGAGCGAAGAGAAAAGCAAAUGUAGGCAUGAGUAACGAUAAUUAAGAUGAGAAAUCUUAACGCCGUAAGACUAAGGGUUCCUAGAUCUAUGUUAAUCAGAUCAGGGUUAGUCGGGUCCUAAGGUGUACCCAAGAGGGGAAGCCGAUGGCAAGCCGGUUAAUAUUCCGGCACCUGUAUAUACUGCGAUGGGGGGACGAAGGAGCGUAAGGCUGGCCACGAGACGGAAUACGUGGUUGAAGUGCGUAGACGUUGAUCCGGUAGGCAAAUCCGCCGGUGAGUUGAAACACGAUAGUAUUCUAAUGACUUCGGUCAUUGGGAAUAAAGCCCCAAGCAAGCUUCCGAGAAAAGCCUCUAAGCUUCAGGUAUAUAGAGCCCGUACCGCAAACCGACACAGGUGGUCGAGGAGAGUAUCCUAAGGCGCUCGAGUGAUCCGUGGCUAAGGAACUAGGCAAAAUAGUCUCGUAACUUCGGGAGAAGAGACGCCCCGCGUAAGCGGGGCCGCAGUGAAGAGGCCCAGGCGACUGUUUAGCAAAAACACAGGACUCUGCAAAUUCGAAAGAAGAAGUAUAGGGUCUGACACCUGCCCGGUGCUGGAAGGUUAAGAGGAGCGGUCAGCGCAAGCGAAGCUCUUAAUUGAAGCCCCAGUAAACGGCGGCCGUAACUAUAACGGUCCUAAGGUAGCGAAAUUCCUUGUCGGGUAAGUUCCGACCUGCACGAAUGGUGUAACGAUCUGGGCACUGUCUCAGCCACGAGCUCGGUGAAAUUGAAGUAUCGGUGAAGAUGCCGAUUACCCGCAAUGGGACGAAAAGACCCCGUGAACCUUUACUAUAACUUCACAUUGGGCUUGAAUAUAAGAUGUGUAGGAUAGGUGGGAGACUGCGAAGUUGUCACGCUAGUGGCGAUGGAGUCGGCGUUGAAAUACCACCCUUUUUAUAUUUAGGUCCUAAUCCCUGGAAAGAGGGAGACAGUGUGUGGCGGGUAGUUUGACUGGGGUGGUCGCCUCCGAAAGAGUAACGGAGGCUUGCAAAGGUACCCUCAGUGCCGUUGGUAACGGUACGCAGAGCAUAUUAGUAGAAGGGUGCUUGACUGAGAGACUGACGGGUCGAUCAGGGUCGAAAGACGGCUAAAGUGAUCCGGUGUUUCCGCAUGGAAGGGACAUCGCUCAAAGGAUAAAAGGUACUCCGGGGAUAACAGGCUGAUCUCCCCCAAGAGCUCAUAUCGACGGGGAGGUUUGGCACCUCGAUGUCGGCUCGUCACAUCCUGGGGCUGGAGAAGGUCCCAAGGGUUGGGCUGUUCGCCCAUUAAAGUGGCACGUGAGCUGGGUUCAGAACGUCGCAAGACAGUUCGGUCUCUAUCUAUUGUGGGCGUUGGAAUAUUGAGGAGUCCUGACACUAGUACGAGAGGACCGUGUUGGACGAACCGCUAGUGUACCUGUUGUGGCGCCAGCUGCAGUGCAGGGUAGCUAUGUUCGGACUGGAUAAGCACUGAAAGCAUCUAAGUGCGAAGCCAUCUCCAAGAUGAGUAUUCCUUGAAGGGUCGUAGAAGAUGACUACGUUGAUAGGCUACAGGUGGAAGUGCAGUAAUGUAUGGAGCUGAGUAGUACUAAUUACCCGAAAGCUUCCUUUU